AACACUGGACUGUAGGCCUUUAUAAAGUGUUGUACCUUUACUGUCUUUGGGUUCAAAAAAACUCCAUCAACUCAGUAUCCGUCCAACCGAAAACUCUGUCAGCUGCUGCUGCAGACGGUGUGCAGACGGGCUCGGAGUCGGCACCUCGUGCAUCAACAGUCUUUCAAAGCAGCGGUAGUAAUCACUCAACCGGACGGUGUAGAAAGUCCCGUCAGUUAAAAAUAGUAAUCCAGUUUUUAAAUACAUGUUAAAAUCGGCAGGAUAUAGAGCUAGUUAGCUUAAAAAAAAGUCGCAAACAGUGUCAAAUGUGAUGGUUUCAGGUCGGCUCAGUAACAUGAAUUGCUGCCACCUCCACUCCACCUGCCAGCUCAGCUCCACCUGCCAGCUCAGCUCCACCUGCCGCCACCUCCACUUCAGAGAAAUAUGUUGCAGAGGCUUGGGACGGCAAAAAUAAUCAUGUUUUGCUGUCCAGAACUGCUGUUUUAUUGGGACAUCUGUAGGACAACUCCGGGUCAGGAAUUCGAGAGUGAGAGCAUUCAUGAGAGCAAGGAGCUGAAUGGUGUCCAGGUGGAAAGCAAACACUGUGCCACAUAGCUUACAGCAGGAUUUCACUUCAUGUGGAAUAUUUGCCAUCAAAUAUGCUGAGAAAGUCCUGGCAGAGGAGUCUACUACUUUCCCAAACUCUGAAGCGGCAGUGGUUAACUACAGAUGAGGAAAAUUCUGUAACACUUCUCAAUGAGGCUGGUAUGUUAACCCUUUUCGAACUUUUAUUAACCCAUGAGGUUUUCAAAUAUCAUAAUUGAAAUGAUGUAUCAUGUAUCACUCAUGGUAUAUUUCCCCAUGGAAAUAAGAAGAAAAUAUUAUGUGCAAUCAAUAACAUAUCUUAACCAGAUGAUCUCAGUGAGCUGUGCCACUGCUGUGGAGAGGGAGAAGAAGCGCGAGGAGGAGGGUCUCAAGACAGACCUGAGGCCACUGACUGGAUCUAGUGUGUCACCUGUGGACGGUGGUACCACGAGGGUUGUGUUGGGAGGCCCGACAGAGGUCAUUUGUACAGCUGUCCUGCAUGCCCCCAGGCUCAAAUGUUCUAGUGACGUUUCUCAAGUUUUCCUGGUUCCAAUAAACGUCACUGGCGACUGACUGUGUUAAGUGUUAAUAUAUGUGUCAAGUGUUAAUAUAUGAUUACGGCCUUACUUUGAAGGGACAACGUGAUGACGUUACUACGUUCUUGUGAAGCAACGAGCGGGUCAACUGUCCCGUUGUUCUUUUGUUGUUGUUGGAACUGACUGGACAGUAUUCAGUCAUGUAUUCUAGAG
ensembl:lncRNA